rnacentral:rRNA from 1 species
GACGAACGCUGGCGGCGUGCCUAAUACAUGCAAGUCGAACGCAGUGGGGACGGGUGAGUAACCCGUGGGUAACCUCCCAUCAGUGGGCAGAACACUUGGAAACAGGUGCUAAACCGAUACUGAUGGAUGGAGCCGGUGGGCAUUAGCUAGUUGGCGAGGUAACGGCUCACCAAGGCCACGAUGCAUAGCUGACCUGAGAGGUGGAUCGGCCACACUGGGAAUGAGACACGGCCCAGACUCCUACGGGAGGCAGCAGUAGGGAAUGUUCGGCAAUGGGCGAAAGUCUGAUCGAGCAACGCCGCGUGAGUGAAGAAGGUUUUCGGAUCGUAAAACUCUGUUGGUAGAGAAGCGGUAUCGACCGAGAAAGCCACGGCUAACUUCGAGCCAGCAGCCGCGGUAAUUC